AUGCCCUUCUAAUGCAGUUAUGCUGCUUGCUGGUAACUUCUAGUGACUCUCUUCAGCCAGAAUCCUCCCUGAGUUGCUGGCUCGUGUAUGCAGUUUUCUUCUGUCAUUUCUACCUGGAAAUCCAUAGGUGCCUAAAACUCCACAUGUUUGAGCCCUCAUCACCUUCCCCAUCACACCAGCUUUGUUUUCCUUAUUCUUGGGGGCGGUCUUGGUGUGUCCUCUAACCUGUAUCCUUGAUUCCGUUCUAUUUUUGCAAAUUUAAUGUCCCAAUACUCCCUAGCUCUUCUCCAACCUCUUUCCCUCAGCCCAUUGCCAGGAGACUCCUAAUGGUCUCCUUUAAAUCCACCCUUUGUAGAGUAAUCCACAUAAAUGAUUUCAAAUAUAAAUAUGAGCAUAGCAUCUUCCAGAUGGUUCAUUGUUUUCUUCAGGAUUAAGUCCAAGCUCCUUAAUGAGGGCUGUAAGACUCUCUAUGAGCCAUCCUGUACCCUUCCAGCACUUUUUUUUCUCCUAAAGUUAGCCAAAGUUGAUCAACGUUGUCUUGUUUCAUGUCUUGCCACUUGUUGAACUCUGAAAAUAUCAAUUGCUUGAUCUCCUUAAAAGGGGCACCGUUCCCUAAUGUUUUUUUCCCCCUUGAACUGGCUCAAUUCCCUGGUGUAAGAGAAGACUUCGAGUCUUAAUUCAUGUGCUGAUGCUUAUUGGAAGCUUUCCCUAGUGCCCCCCGCUUUUUUUGUUUUUUUUUUUUUUUUUUCUUUUUGAGACGGAGUCUCGCUAUGUUGCCAGGCUGGAGUGCAGUGGCACGAUCUUGGCUCACUGCAACUGCCGUCUUCCAGGUUCAAGCGAUUCCCCUGUCUCAGCCUCCCGAGUAGCUGGGACUACAGGCAUGCGCCACCACGCCAGCUAAUUUUUGUAUUUUUAGUAGAUACGGGGUUUCACUGUGUUGGUCAGGCUGGUCUCGAACUUCUGGCCUCAAGAUCCGCCUGCCUCAGCCUCCCAAAGUACUGGGAUUACAGGCAUGAGCCACCACGCCCGGCCCCUAAGCCCCUUUUUAAUCCACACCCUCCUGAGAUGAAUUUCUCUCCUCUAUGUUCCCAUAAACUUAUAUGUUUUCAUUACAAAUGAACACAAGGUCAUACCAUUUAUGACGUUUCAAUUAUGUGUCUGCCUCUGUGUUCCUACCCUGUGGAGCCUGAGCAUUUCUUAAGAAGAAUACCUAGAAACAUCUGGGGUCCUUCUAUUUCAUUGUCUUACAAUUAUUAGGCUUUGUGUAAACGCUCGCAGAUUGAAUGACGAAAUAAAAGAAGAAACUACAGCACAGUCAAUUUUCUCCAUGACAGCCUGAGAGAUGUAGCUGGUGCUGCCACUUUUCCUUCAUUUUUCCCUGCCUUGAAUAUGGUGGUGAUGCCUGGAGCUUCAGCAGCCAUCUUAUGGCCAUGAAAUGGCAAGCAUGAGAAUGAAAGAAAAUGCACUCAUCAUGAAAGGAGGAAGAGCAGAAGAAAUCUGGGUCACUGGUGAUAUCAAUGGAUAGCUGAAGCAGUGCUGCUCUGGAUGGAAAAUGCCCUGGGUUCUCCGAGACUUAACACCCCGCCUUGUGAACGCGAGCAAGAUUAUUCUCUCUGAGCAGCUCUUUUCACAUGUGAUAAGCUUGGCAAGUUGCCCUGGAUUGAAUUCUCACCCACUGUCUUCACCCAACCCAGCAGAGAAGAAGGCUUGUGACUGUGUAAGGUGAAAAUGGAUAUACCAUUUCUGGGAAGAGAAAAGAAGCCAAUUAAAAGUGGGGCAUGUCAUUACACUGACCAGAAAUGAACGUACCUUUUUAGAAAUAAAGAAUCUGUAUAUUCCUGUGGCUCUGAUUUAUUCCUAAGUUUCUUGUCUCACUCAUUAAGGACACUUCUUCAGCCACUAGUGUUUGUGUAUAUAUAUUGGUGUGCAUGGCCAUGUGUAUCCCAGGAUAUAAAUAUAAAGAAUUUAAUAUUCUUUUUCACUACAAAUGUAGUUUAUAUUUCAAUAUAAAACCUAAUUUGACUAAGAAGCCAGGAUUUAUGCAUUAUCUAAUUUCUCUUGCUAUAGUAGAAAUAACUAAAUUCAGGUUGUAGUUUUAAUAUGUUCCUCCUUCUUACAAUACCUUUCUUCAAAUGAUUGUGUGUCAAUAAAAG
rnacentral:lncRNA from 1 species